GCUGGAGGUUGUCACAGGUCAGCGUUCCAUCUUCCAGCUUGUUCAGAAGCCAAUCUGCCCCUCUAUUUCGCCUCCCCUCCCAGGCUGUGUCCACUCCUCUGUCGAGGGAGACCGGUGCUUGGCGUCCCCCUCUGUGUUCAGCCUUCUCUCCUUUCUCAGGGCCCCCAAGGUAUCUCCACUUGGGCGUGGGCACAUGUGUGCACUUGGGCCGCCUGAGCCCUCCUCCCUGUCACGUCACAGCCACGCUGCUGGAAGGCAUGGGGCUUCGCUGUUUCUUUCAGCUGCACCACUCACCCCAGCCUCAGCACCUGCACCUCCCUGAAACUGCUGUCACGAGGGGGGUCACCAGGGGCUCCUCAGCUGACAAGCAGGGUAGGUGCUUUCAGAGCUCACUACCUUUUCCUGGCAUUUGUGACUGCCCUGCCCCAAACUCCAUCCUCCCUUGGCUGCUUCUGUUUUUUUUAAAUUGUGAAAUGUCAUCCCUAUGAAGCUGGUGGGCUCCAUUAAAUCGGUUUCCCAUCUGGGCCUCCAUCUUAUCUGUCACUUCGUGGGUCCCUCUGUCUCUGGCCUUGCCCCUCUUCAGCCUGUCAAGCAGGGACCAGUCCAGUACACACUGCGUCACUGCACGCCCCUGCUUACGGCUUGUCCGCGGUGGCUCAAGAACGCUGCAGUCAGCCCACACUUGCCCAGCCCCGCGCCGUGCAGGGAGAGCCGGGAUUCCUUUUGCUCAGGCGAGGACGUGCGGCUUUGAGGGGUGAAAUAACUGCCCAGGCUCGUGAGCUAGAAAGUAUCACAUUUCAAACCAAGACAUCUGAAUGCAGCAGACCUGCAGGAUUUCUUUCCGUGUUCACUGUGGUGUCACCAGCCAGGGAGCUGCUGCCUCUGUGUGACCUUCUUCCUUCCCUGUAUCAGCUCCUGACACUCCCCUUCCGCUCCGAUGACAACAGCACUGUCCUGCUCCUGGGCCCUGACUGCAGCAUCCCUCUGCCCAGAAUAGGCCCUGCCCUUGAAGCCUAGCACAGCGUCACUUCUUUGAACCUUUUCAUUUUUAUAUCACUUAUGGCUGGCGCUGCGCUUAGAACGUACUAAUGCCGAG
rnacentral:lncRNA from 1 species